rnacentral:rRNA from 1 species
UACGGGGGGGGCAAGCGUUGUUCGGAAUUACUGGGCGUAAAGGGCUCGUAGGCGGUCAACUAAGUCGGAUGUGAAAUCCCCAGGCUUAACCUGGGAACUGCAUCCGAUACUGGAUGGCUUGAAUCCGGGAGAGGGAUGCAGAAUUCCAGGUGUAGCGGUGAAAUGCGUAGAUAUCUGGAGGAAUACCGGUGGCGAAGGCGGCAUCCUGGACCGGCAUUGACGCUGAUGAGCGAAAGCUAGGGGAGCAAACAGG